rnacentral:rRNA from 1 species
CGAAAGUAGCGAAGCACAUGAUGACGGCUUCCAGGAAAAGCUUCUGGCAAUGCAUAUGCGGCCCGUACCAAAACCGACACAGGUGGGCAGGGAGAGAAUCCCGAGGUGAGCGAGAGAACUGUUGCCAAGGAACUCGGCAAAAUGACUCCGUAAGUUAGCGAGAAGGAGUGCUUAAGCAAUUAAGCCGCAGUGAAGAGGCCCAAGCGACUGUCUAACUAAAACACAGCUCUCUGCGAAGUCGCAAGACGAAGUAUAGGGGGUGACACCUGCCCGGUGCUGGAAGGUUAAGAGGAUCUGUUAAGAGCGAUCUGAAGCAGUGAUCCGAAGCCCCAGUGAACGGCGGCCGUAACUAUAACGGUCCUAAGGUAGCGAAAUUCCUUGUCAGGUAAGGUCUGACCCGCACGAAAGGUGUAACGAUUUGGGCGCUGUCUCGGCAGCAGACUCGGUGAAAUCUUAGUACCUGUGAAAAUGCAGGUUACCCGCAACUAGACGGAAAGACCCCAUGGAGCUUUACUGCAGCCUGAUAUUGAAUUCUGGUCAUACAUGUACAGGAUAGGUGGGAGACAAAGAGACGUGCACGCCAGUGUACGAGGAGUCGACGUUGGGAUACCACUCUUGUGUGACCGGGGUUCUAACCUGGUAUCGAGAACAGGUACGGGGAGAGUGUCAGGUGGGCAGUUUGACUGGGGCGGUCGCCUCCCAAAGAGUAACGGAGGCGCCCAAAGGUACGCUCAGAUUGGAUGGAAACCAAUCGACGAGUGCAAUUGCAGAAGCGUGCUUGACUGUGAGACAAACAAGUCGAACAGGGACGAAAGUCGGGAAUAGUGAUCCGGCGGUGCCGAAUGGAAGGGCCGUCGCUCAACGGAUAAAAGCUACCCUGGGGAUAACAGGCUGAUCUCGCCCAAGAGUUCACAUCGACGGCGAGGUUUGGCACCUCGAUAUCGGCUCAUCGCAUCCUGGAGCUGGAUUCGGUUCCAAGGGUUGGGCUGUCCGCCCAUUAAAGCGGUACGCGAGCUGGGUUCAGAACGUCGUGAGACAGUUCGGUCCCUAUCUGUUGUGGGCGAAGGAGAUCUGCGGAGAGCUGUCCUCAGUACGAGAGGACCGGGAUGGACCUACCGCUGGUGCACCGGUUGUUCCGCCAGGGGCAUAGCCGGGUAGCUAAGUAGGGAAAGGAUAAGCGCUGAAAGCAUCUAAGCACGAAGCCUACUCCAAGAUGAGAUCUCCCAUUCGCAAGAAGUAAGACCCCUUAAAGACGAUAAGGUAGAUAGGUCAGGGAUGGAAGUGCAGUGAUGUACGGAGUUGACUGGUACUAAUCGGUCGAGGACUUAACC